rnacentral:rRNA from 1 species
AACGAACGCUGGCGGCGUGCUUAACACAUGCAAGUCGAACGAGAAACCUCGAGCUUGCUCGAGGGAGUAAAGUGGCGCACGGGUGAGUAACACGUGGGUAACCUGCCCCCGAAUCCGGGAUAACCUCGCGAAAGCGUUGCUAAUACCGGAAUUGUCCUAUCGGUUGUGACCUUUGGGAUGAAAGGCAACCUCUUCAUGAAAGUUGUCGUUCAGGGAUGGGCCCGCGUACCAUUAGCUUGUUGGUGGGGUAACGGCCCACCAAGGCUGCGAUGGUUAGCUGGUCUGAGAGGAUGAUCAGCCACACUGGAACUGAAACACGGUCCAGACUCCUACGGGAGGCAGCAGUGAGGAAUUUUGCGCAAUGGGGGAAACCCUGACGCAGCAACGCCGCGUGAGUGAAGAAGGCUUUCGGGUCGUAAAGCUCUGUCAAGUGGGAAAAAAGUCUGAUGAUUAAUAGUUGUCAGAUCUGAUGGUACCACUGGAGGAAGCACCGGCUAACUCCGUGCCAGCAGCCGCGGUAAUACGGAGGGUGCAAGCGUUGUUCGGAAUUACUGGGCGUAAAGGGCGUGCAGGCGGGUUGGUAAGUCAGAUGUGAAAGCCCUGGGCUUAACCCAGGAAGUGCAUUUGAAACUGCCAUCCUAGAGUAUGGGAGAGGAGAGUGGAAUUCCCAAUGUAGAGGUGAAAUUCGUAGAUAUUGGGAGGAAUACCCGUGGCGAAGGCGACUCUCUGGACCAAUACUGACGCUGAGACGCGAAAGCGUGGGGAGCAAACAGGAUUAGAUACCCUGGUAGUCCACGCUGUAAACGAUGAGAACUAGGUGUAGCGGGUAUUGACCCCUGCUGUGCCGAAGUUAACGCAUUAAGUUCUCCGCCUGGGGAGACGGCCGCAAGGCU